GUGCCUUUUGUAGAAUGAACCGGCGAGUUACGAUUUGAUGCAAGGUUAAGCAGUAAAUGUGGAGCCGUAGCGAAAGCGAGUCUGAAUAGGGCGUUUAGUAUUUGGUCGUAGACCCGAAACCAGGUGAUCUACCCUUGGUCAGGUUGAAGUUCAGGUAACACUGAAUGGAGGACCGAACCGACUUACGUUGAAAAGUGAGCGGAUGAACUGAGGGUAGCGGAGAAAUUCCAAUCGAACCUGGAGAUAGCUGGUUCUCUCCGAAAUAGCUUUAGGGCUAGCCUCAAGUGAUGAUUAUUGGAGGUAGAGCACUGUUUGGACGAGGGGCCCCUCUCGGGUUACCGAAUUCAGACAAACUCCGAAUGCCAAUUAAUUUAACUUGGGAGUCAGAACAUGGGUGAUAAGGUCCGUGUUCGAAAGGGAAACAGCCCAGACCACCAGCUAAGGUCCCAAAAUAUAUGUUAAGUGGAAAAGGAUGUGGCGUUGCCCAGACAACUAGGAUGUUGGCUUAGAAGCAGCCAUCAUUUAAAGAGUGCGUAAUAGCUCACUAGUCGAGUGACACUGCGCCGAAAAUGUACCGGGGCUAAACAUAUUACCGAAGCUGUGGAUUGUCCUUUGGACAAUGGUAGGAGAGCGUUCUAAGGGCGUUGAAGCAUGAUCGUAAGGACAUGUGGAGCGCUUAGAAGUGAGAAUGCCGGUGUGAGUAGCGAAAGACGGGUGAGAAUCCCGUCCACCGAUUGACUAAGGUUUCCAGAGGAAGGCUCGUCCGCUCUGGGUUAGUCGGGUCCUAAGCUGAGGCCGACAGGCGUAGGCGAUGGAUAACAGGUUGAUAUUCCUGUACCACCUAUAAUCGUUUUAAUCGAUGGGGGGACGCAGUAGGAUAGGCGAAGCGUGCGAUUGGAUUGCACGUCUAAGCAGUAAGGCUGAGUAUUAGGCAAAUCCGGUACUCAUUAAGGCUGAGCUGUGAUGGGGAGAAGACAUUGUGUCUUCGAGUCGUUGAUUUCACACUGCCGAGAAAAGCCUCUAGAUAGAAAAUAGGUGCCCGUACCGCAAACCGACACAGGUAGUCAAGAUGAGAAUUCUAAGGUGAGCGAGCGAACUCUCGUUAAGGAACUCGGCAAAAUGACCCCGUAACUUCGGGAGAAGGGGUGCUCUUUAGGGUUAACGCCCAGAAGAGCCGCAGUGAAUAGGCCCAAGCGACUGUUUAUCAAAAACACAGGUCUCUGCUAAACCGUAAGGUGAUGUAUAGGGGCUGACGCCUGCCCGGUGCUGGAAGGUUAAGAGGAGUGGUUAGCUUCUGCGAAGCUACGAAUCGAAGCCCCAGUAAACGGCGGCCGUAACUAUAACGGUCCUAAGGUAGCGAAAUUCCUUGUCGGGUAAGUUCCGACCCGCACGAAAGGCGUAACGAUUUGGGCACUGUCUCAACGAGAGACUCGGUGAAAUCAUAGUACCUGUGAAGAUGCAGGUUACCCGCGACAGGACGGAAAGACCCCGUGGAGCUUUACUGUAGCCUGAUAUUGAAAUUCGGCACAGCUUGUACAGGAUAGGUAGGAGCCUUUGAAACGUGAGCGCUAGCUUACGUGGAGGCGCUGGUGGGAUACUACCCUAGCUGUGUUGGCUUUCUAACCCGCACCACUUAUCGUGGUGGGAGACAGUGUCAGGCGGGCAGUUUGACUGGGGCGGUCGCCUCCUAAAAGGUAACGGAGGCGCUCAAAGGUUCCCUCAGAAUGGUUGGAAAUCAUUCAUAGAGUGUAAAGGCAUAAGGGAGCUUGACUGCGAGACCUACAAGUCGAGCAGGGUCGAAAGACGGACUUAGUGAUCCGGUGGUUCCGCAUGGAAGGGCCAUCGCUCAACGGAUAAAAGCUACCCCGGGGAUAACAGGCUUAUCUCCCCCAAGAGUUCACAUCGACGGGGAGGUUUGGCACCUCGAUGUCGGCUCAUCGCAUCCUGGGGCUGUAGUCGGUCCCAAGGGUUGGGCUGUUCGCCCAUUAAAGCGGUACGCGAGCUGGGUUCAGAACGUCGUGAGACAGUUCGGUCCCUAUCCGUCGUGGGCGUAGGAAAUUUGAGAGGAGCUGUCCUUAGUACGAGAGGACCGGGAUGGACAUACCUCUGGUGUACCAGUUGUCGUGCCAACGGCAUAGCUGGGUAGCUAUGUGUGGACGGGAUAAGUGCUGAAAGCAUCUAAGCAUGAAGCCCCCCUCAAGAUGAGAUUUCCCAACUUCGGUUAUAAGAUCCCUCAAAGAUGAUGAGGUUAAUAGGUUCGAGGUGGAAGCAUGGUGACAUGUGGAGCUGACGAAUACUAA
rnacentral:rRNA from 1 species